GCCUGCUUAGCUCAGCGGUAGAGCAUCUCGUUUACACCGAGGCGGUCGGCGGUUCGAUCCCGUCAGCAGGCA
rnacentral:tRNA from 1 species